CUCACACCCCCGUCGGGGAUCUCCCGGUCGGCAAAGACCCUCUGGUCUGCCGUCUACUCCGCCGCGCCCCGGCCCCCAGAUACCCUCACCUAUGGGAUGUAGGACUGGUUCUCUGUCUUUUCAGGGAUUGGCUUCCGAAUGACCGCCUCUCCCUACGCCAACUGUCCGCUAAGUGCGCUUUUCUCCUUUGCCUAGUAUCUUUCCGACGGGUUUCGGACGUUCGGG